UAGGGAAUCUUCCACAAUGGGCGCAAGCCUGAUGGAGCAACACCGCGUGAGUGAAGAAGGGUUUCGGCUCGUAAAGCUCUGUUGUUAAAGAAGAACACGUAUGAGAGUAACUGUUCAUACGUUGACGGUAUUUAACCAGAAAGUCACGGCUAACUACGCCCCAG
rnacentral:rRNA from 1 species